rnacentral:rRNA from 1 species
GACGAACGCUGGCGGCGUGCUUAACACAUGCAAGUCGAACGGAAAGGCCCUGCUUUUGUGGGGUGCUCGGGUGGCGAACGGGUGAGUAACACGUGAGUAACCUGCCCUUGACUUUGGGAUAACUUCAGGAAACUGGGGCUAAUACCGGAUAGGAGCUCCUGCUGCAUGGUGGGGUUUGGAAAGUUUCGGCGGUUGGGGAUGGACUCGCGGCUUAUCAGCUUGUUGGUGGGGUAGUGGCUUACCAAGGCUUUGACGGGUAGCCUGCCUGAGAGGGGGGACGGGCACCAUGGGACUGAGGGACGGCCCAGAGUCGUACGGGGGGCAACAGUGGGGAAUAUUGCACAAUGGGGGGAAGCGUGAUGCAGAAACGCCGGGAGCGGGAUGACGGCCUUCGGGUUGUAAACCGCUUUAGCCUGUGACGAAGCGUGAGUGACGGUAAUGGGUAAAGAAGCACCGGCUAACUACGUG